UCCAGGGUAGCCUAGAGGACAUGGGAUCUGCCCGGUAAGCGGAACACUGUUGGGUUCGAUUCCCAUCCCUGGAC
rnacentral:tRNA from 1 species